rnacentral:tRNA from 1 species
AUGAUAGCUCAGCUGGGAGAGUAUCUGCCCGGUAAGCGAAAUGUAGCUGGUUCGAUUCCGGCUCACAUA